UUGAACGCUGGCGGCAUGCCUUACACAUGCAAGUCGAACGGUAGAGGGGCAACCCUUGAGAGUGGCGAACGGGUGAGUAAUAUAUCGGAACGUGCCCAGUCGUGGGGGAUAACGCAGCGAAAGCUGCGCUAAUACCGCAUACGAUCUAUGGAUGAAGGCGGGGGAUCGCAAGACCUCGCGCGAUUGGAGCGGCCGAUAUCAGAUUAGGUAGUUGGUGGGGUAAAA
rnacentral:rRNA from 1 species